rnacentral:misc_RNA from 1 species
AAGUCGUAACAAGGUUUCCGUAGGUGAACCUGCGGAAGGAUCAUUAACACAAAACUUUCAAUUUAUACUGUGGGGAAUAGUACAGAACCUACCUCUUCAGAGGCGCAUGUCCACUGGUCAAUGGUUAGUCCCUUCCUUCUUGAUUGGCUGUUUCGGCUCUUCUCGAGGGGGACAGGCUGGUGGUACUAGUAAUCCGUGCUUCGGCUGCAAUAUUGCUUGCGGUGCGAGAUUUGCUGCGACCCGGUAAGGAAUACAGCCCGGACCAUGGCUGGCAACAUUUUUUUUUAACAUUAACGUACGGUCUAUCUGCGGGUUGAUUUCAGAUCGAGAGGUUUGAUUCCUUUCUCUGGUUGGCUCGUUUGGCUUGGAGCAAUCUAAGACCAUAAACUACAAACAACUCUUAACAGCGGAUAUCUUGGUUCUG